AGCAGCCGCGGUAAUUCCAGCUCCAAUAGCGUAUAUUAAAGUUGUUGCAGUUAAAAAGCUCGUAGUUGAAUUUCGGGAUCAAUAUAUCGGUCGUGCCUUGGUACGUACUGGUAUCAUUGGUUUCUCCUUUCUGACGAACCAUGAUGUCAUUAAUUUGGUGUUAUGGGAAGUUAGGACUGUUACUUUGAAAAAUUAGAGUGUUUAAAGCAGGCUUUAGCUUGAAUACAUUAGCAUGGAAUAAUGAAAUAGGACGUUCGAACCUAUUUUGUUGGUUUCUAGGAUCAACGUAAUGAUUAAUAGGGAUAGUUGGGGCAUUAGUAUUCAAUUGUCAGAGGUGAAAUUCUUGGA
rnacentral:rRNA from 1 species